rnacentral:rRNA from 1 species
AUUCCGGCUGAUCCUGCCGGAGGUCAUUGCUAUCCGGAUCUGGCUAAGCCAUGCUUGUUCUGGGUUAAACCAGGGCAGAGAGCUCAGUAACACGUAGUCAACCUGCCCUUAGGUUCGGACGAAUCUCGGGAAACUGAGGCUAAUGCCGAAUAGGCAAUAUAUUCUGGAAUGAUUUAUUGUUCAACUAAGGAUGGGACUGCGGCUGAUUAGGUUGUUGCCAGGCUAAAAGGGAUUGACGACUUGGAUUUUCGGAUUAAGUCGUCUUCCUUAGAUUCCUGACAAGCCGAUAAUCAGUACGGGCCUUGAGAGAGGAUGCCCGGAGAUGGAUUCUGAGACAAGAAUCCAGGUCCUACGGGGUGCAGCAGGCGCGAAACUUUCCCAAUGCACGCAAGUGUGAGGAAGAGAUCUGGAGUGUUUUCUCAUUUUGAGGGAACUUUUGCCAAGUGCAAACAGCUUGGAGAAUAAGUGGUGGGUAAUACAGGUGCCAGCCGCCGCGGUAAUACCUGAGCCACGAGUGAUGACCACGUUUAUUGGGCUUAAAGCGUUCGUAGCCGGUUCUGCAAGUUCCUGGUGAAAUCAGCCGGUAAACCGGUUGGCUUGCUGGGAAUACUACAGGACUUGGGACCGGGAGAGGUCGAGGGUACUGUUAGGGUAGGGGUAAAAAGCGAUUGUUGACUUGAAUUAUUCCGAAUAAGUCAACCUUCCUUACAUUCCUAUAAUCCUAUCAGGACCACCUGUGGCGAAGGCGCUCGACUAGAACGGAUCCGACGGUGAGGGACGAAAGCCAGGGGAGCGAAUGGGAUUAGAUACCCCAGUAGUCCUGGCUGUAAACGAUACCCACUAGACAUUGGGGAUCUUACGUGGGUUUCCAGUGUCGAAGGAAAACCGCUAAGUGGGUCGCCUGGGGAGUACGGUCGCAAGGCUGAAACUUAAGGGAAUUGGCGGGGGAGCACACAAGGGGUGGAGGCUGCGGUUCAAUUCGACUCAACGCGGGGAACCUUACCAGAGGCGACAGCAGAAUGAAGGUCAGGUUGAAGUCCUUACCAGACAAGCUGAGAAGUAGUGCAUGGCCGUCGUCAGUUCGUGCCGUGAGGUGUCGUCUUAAGUGACGUAACGAACAAGACCCAUACCUUAUGUUGCCACCCGACUCUGUCGGAGCACUCAUAAGGGACCGCUGGCGAUAAGCCAGAGGAAGGUGUGGUCGACGGCAGGUCCGUAUGCCCUGAAUCCUCUGGGUAACACGCGGCCUACAAUGGAUGGUACAAUGGGAUGCAACUCCGAAAGGAGGAGCUAAUCCUUCAAAACCAUUCCUGGUCCGGAUCGAGGGCUGCAACUCGCCCUCGUGAAGCCGAAAUCCCUAGUAGUCGCUGGUUAGCAUGUUUGGAAGUCGCCGCGAAAGCGGUUGCGCUUCCGGGCCUAAAAUCUAGCGGCGAAUAAGUUCCUGCUCCUUGCACACACUGCCCGUCAAGCCAUCCGAGUGAAGUUUUGGCGAGGUCUUCCUUUCGGGGAGGAUCGAACCACAGCUUUGCAAGGAGGGCUAAGUCGUAAAUUAACGAGAUGGGCAAUUUGAGGGACAAAACGU